rnacentral:tRNA from 1 species
GCGCCCGUAGCUCAGCUGGAUAGAGCGCCGGACUUCGAAUCCGUAGGCCGCAGGUUCGAAUCCUGCCGGGCGCACCA